CCGUGCUAGACGGGGAGGUAGCGGUGCCCUGUACCCGCAAUCCGCUAUAGCGGGGUUGAAUUCCUUUUCGAGGUUUGCACGCUGUGAGGCAGCCUUAAACACGUGGUGCUGACGUUCGGGUCCCGCGCAACGGAAACUCAUGAACCCUGUCAGGUCCGGAAGGAAGCAGCAGUAAAUGAGACCUUUCGUGUGCCGUGGGGCUACCCGGGCUGAGCCGGCGACUUAAGAAGCGCUCAUGGCGUCCUAUCGACAAAAGGUGCACGG
rnacentral:SRP_RNA from 1 species